GCAGUCGACGCUUCUUUUUCCACCGGAGCUUGCUCCACCGGAAAAAGAGGAGUGGCGAACGGGUGAGUAACACGUGGGUGACCUGCCCAUCAGAAGGGGAUAACACUUGGAAACAGGUGCUAAUACCGUAUAACAAUCAAAACCGCAUGGUUUUGAUUUGAAAGGCGCUUUCGGGUGUCGCUGAUGGAUGGACCCGCGGUGCAUUAGCUAGUUGGUGAGGUAACGGCUCACCAAGGCCACGAUGCAUAGCCGACCUGAGAGGGUGAUCGGCCACAUUGGGACUGAGACACGGCCCAAACUCCUACGGGAGGCAGCAGUAGGGAAUCUUCGGCAAUGGACGAAAGUCUGACCGAGCAACGCCGCGUGAGUGAAGAAGGUUUUCGGAUCGUAAAACUCUGUUGUUAGAGAAGAACAAGGAUGAGAGUAACUGUUCAUCCCUUGACGGUAUCUAACCAGAAAGCCACGGCUAACUACGUGCCAGCAGCCGCGGUAAUACGUAGGUGGCAAGCGUUGUCCGGAUUUAUUGGGCGUAAAGCGAGCGCAGGCGGUUUCUUAAGUCUGAUGUGAAAGCCCCCGGCUCAACCGGGGAGGGUCAUUGGAAACUGGGAGACUUGAGUGCAGAAGAGGAGAGUGGAAUUCCAUGUGUAGCGGUGAAAUGCGUAGAUAUAUGGAGGAACACCAGUGGCGAAGGCGGCUCUCUGGUCUGUAACUGACGCUGAGGCUCGAAAGCGUGGGGAGCAAACAGGAUUAGAUACCCUGGUAGUCCACGCCGUAAACGAUGAGUGCUAAGUGUUGGAGGG
rnacentral:rRNA from 1 species